GUUGUUGAAUUUCAAAAUCUGUUGUAAGGUUGUUAGAAAUUUGUUUAAGAUUUAAAAAAAUUGAUUAAGGUUUGAUUAGGAUUAGGAUUUGAUUUAGGUUAGGAUUUAGUUAGAUUUGUUUAGGAUUUGAUUAGGAUUUGACUAAUAUUUGUUUAUAAAUUGGUUAAGGCUUAUUUAAGAUUUAUCUAGGAUUUGAUUAGGAUUUCUUUAGGAUUUUUUUAUAGUUUGAUUAAGGCUUAUUUAGGAUUUUUCUAGGAUUUAUUUAAGACUUAAUUAGGAUUUGAUUAGAAUUUGGUUAGGAUUAGAAUUUGGUUAGAAUUAGGAUUUUAUUUGUAUUUUUUUAGGAUUUCUUUAUGAUUUAUUUAGAAUUUUUUUGUAUUUCUUUUAAAUUUUAUUUUUUAAAAAAAUAAAAAAAUAAAAAAUAAUAAUUGGACUUAAUUGAUUCUUAAUUAUGAUUUUUAAGCUUCUAUAGUAAUUUAUAUACGAUUUUAUUAGAGUGGUUAGGACUUGUUGUCACAAAUUUCUUUUAUCUUCUAUAGCUAG
rnacentral:lncRNA from 1 species